UACGUAGGGUGCAAGCGUUGUCCGGAAUUAUUGGGCGUAAAGAGCUCGUAGGCGGUUUGUCGCGUCUGCUGUGAAAACUCGGGGCUUAACUCCGGGCCUGCAGUGGGUACGGGCAGACUAGAGUGCGGUAGGGGAGACUGGAAUUCCUGGUGUAGCGGUGAAAUGCGCAGAUAUCAGGAGGAACACCAGUGGCGAAGGCGGUUGCCUGGGGCUUUGCUGACGCUGAUGCGCGAAAGCGUGGGGAGCGAUCCGG
rnacentral:rRNA from 1 species